AGAGUUUGAUCAUGGCUCAGGAUGAGCGCUGGCGGUGUGCCUAAUACAUGCAAGUCGAACGCAUCUUCGGAUGAGUGGCGGACGGGUGAGUAACACGUUAGUACCUGCCCUUUAGUGGGGAAUAACCCGGCGAAAGUCGGGCUAAUACCGCAUGUGAUCCUUCGGGAUGAAAGAAUUUAUUCGCUAAAGGAGGGGCUUGCGUCUGAUUAGCUAGUUGGUAGGGUAAAAGCCUACCAAGGCGACGAUCAGUAGCUGGUUCGAGAGGAUGACCAGCCACACUGGGACUGAGAUACGGCCCAGACUCCUACGGGAGGCAGCAGUAAGGAAUCUUCCGCAAUGGGCGAAAGCCUGACGGAGCAACACCGCGUGCAGGAUGACGGCCUUCGGGUUGUAAACUGCUUUUAAUUGGGAAGAUUAUGACGGUACCAAUUGAAUAAGGACCGGCUAACUACGUGCCAGCAGCCGCGGUAAUACGUAGGGUCCAAGCGUUAUCCGGAAUCACUGGGCGUAAAGCGUGCGUAGGCGGAUUGUUAAGUGCGAUGCGAAAUCCUGUGGCUCAACCAUAUGGACUGUAUCGCAUACUGGCAAUCUUGAGGAAUGCAGAGGCAAGUGGAAUUACUGGUGUAGCAGUGAAAUGCGUAGAUAUCAGUAGGAACACCAAUGGCGAAGGCAGCUUGCUGGGCAUUUUCUGACGCUAAGGCACGAAAGCGUGGGGAGCGAACAGGAUUAGAUACCCUAGUAGUCC
rnacentral:rRNA from 1 species